GACGAACGCUGGCGGCGUGCUUAACACAUGCAAGUCGAGCGGUAAGGCCCUUUCGGGGGUACACGAGCGGCGAACGGGUGAGUAACACGUGGGUGACCUGCCCUCAGCUCUGGGAUAAGCCUGGGAAACCGGGUCGUAAUACCGGAUAUGACUCCAUGACGCAUGUUGUGGGGUGGAAAGCCUUGUGCGGCUGAGGAUGGGCCCGCGGCCUAUCAGCUUGUUGGUGGGGUGAUGGCCUACCAAGGCGACGACGGGUAGCGGCCUGAGAGGGCGACCGGCCACACUGGGACUGAGACACGGCCCAGACUCCUACGGGA
rnacentral:rRNA from 1 species